CUCUGUCUCUCAUGCUCUUCAAGCCCCUCUUACCUUUGGACAGUUUUCCUCUGCCUGGAGGUUUUCCUUCCCUUACUUGCUUAGUUACUGCCUUUCUUCUCAUCUGUGCUGAAGCUUUUUCUGAUCUAUCUGACUAGAACUCUGCCUCAAAGCCAUCCCCCAUUACAAGAUCUUAUAAUACCCUUUCUCUCUCCUUAACCACAGUUUCAACAUUUGCCUUUUCACAUUUCUCUGUGCUGUCUUUGGUUAAUAUGUCCCACCUCCACCAGCUGAAUUUGGUUUAUGGGGUGUGGAAACUCCUCCUAGUUUCAUUCACAUGUGUCUCCCCACUGUGCUCAACAACUAUAUGUAGAAUUGAUGAAUCCCAGUAUCAGUCUGAAAAAGGCAUUCAAAAACUGCUGAUUAAAAGAAACUAAGUUGUGUGGUGAGUGUGGAUGACCAAUUAUUUAAAACAAAAAUCCUUACCUGUUUGGAUAUCUUUAAGGCUUUUGAGGAAAAAGUUCACCAACUGUCUCUAACAGUACCCAGAUUAGAAAUAACUCCAUCAUGAAAGAAAGGACUUCAGCAGAGUGAUUACAACUAUGGGUUCUGGAACCAAACCUUCUAGGAUUCCUUUUCUGUGGACACAAGUUAAUUAAGCUCCCUCUGAUUAAGUUCCAUCAUCUCCUCUGGGAAUAUCAACAGAUCCUUCAUCAUGGUGUUAUUGUGAAAAUUUCAUAAGAUAAUAAAAACCAUCUAGUGCAGAGCUUGGCCCACAGUAAGCUCUCAGUGUGGUGUUUGUCAUCAACAAGAUCAUCAGUCUUUUCAUCAUCAAUAAACUGAUGCUGUGACUAAUAAGAGCAUAUGAGAUUCAGAGGCUGACUCAGCUCUAAUGCAAAUUUUCAGCAAGUAUGGCAUCCAGCUGAGCAAUUAUGCCUCAGCCCUGUGGUACAUGAGGAGCAAGGGAGACAUAGAUGAAUAUCAUGACCCCGUUCCUUUCUAAGCCAUCAGAAAUAAAGUCCUUCUUCGAUGUCCCAACGGUCUUG
rnacentral:lncRNA from 1 species